UACGUAGGGCGCAAGCGUUGUCCGGAAUUAUUGGGCGUAAAGAGCUCGUAGGCGGCUUGUCGCGUCGGAUGUGAAAGCCCGGGGCUUAACUCCGGGUCUGCAUUCGAUACGGGCAGGCUAGAGUUCGGUAGGGGAGAUCGGAAUUCCCGGUGUAGUGGUGAAAUGCGUAGAGAUCGGGAGGAACACCUGUGGCGAAGGCGGCCCCCUGGGCCGGCCCUGACACUGAGACGCGAAGGCGUGGGGAGCGAACGGG
rnacentral:rRNA from 1 species